rfam:Cnuella takakiae strain DSM 26897 genome assembly, contig: Ga0131159_109
GGCAUCUUAGCUCAGUUGGGAGAGCAACAGAGGUUUACCUCUGGAGACAUGGGUUCGACACCCAUAGAUGCCC